rnacentral:rRNA from 1 species
GGAGUCUGGGCCGUAUCUCAGUCCCAAUGUGGCCGGUCAACCUCUCAGUCCGGCUACUGAUCGUCGCCUUGGUGAGCCUUUACCCCACCAACUAGCUAAUCAGACGCGAGCCCAUCUUUCAGCGAUAAAUCUUUAACAUAUCUCCCAUGCGAAAAAUAUGCAUCAUGCGGUAUUAGCAGCCGUUUCCAACUGUUGUCCCCCUCCUGAAAGGCAGGUUGCUCACGCGUUACUCACCAGUCCGCCACUUUCCUCUAACUCCAUCAGCCGAAGCCUCUUUCAUUAGAUUCUCGUUCGACUUGCAUGUGUUAGGCACGCCGCCAGCGUUCGUCCUGAGCCACGGAGUCAAACUACU